AUACGGAGGAUGCGAGCGUUAUCCGGAUUUAUUGGGUUUAAAGGGAGCGUAGGUGGGAUAUUAAGUCAGCUGUGAAAGUUUGGGGCUCAACCUUAAAAUUGCAGUUGAUACUGGUUUCCUUGAGUACGGUACAGGUGGGCGGAAUUCGUGGUGUAGCGGUGAAAUGCUUAGAUAUCACGAAGAACUCCGAUCGCGAAGGCAGCUCACCGGGCCGGAACUGACACUGAUGCUCGAAAGUGCGGGUAUCAAACAGGAUUAGAUACCCUGGUAGUCCGCACAGUAAACGAUGAAUACUCGCUGUUUGCGAUAUACAGUAAGCGGCCAAGCGAAAGCAUUAAGUAUUCCACCUGGGGAGUACGCCGGCAACGGUGAAACUCAAAUGAAUUGGCGGGG
rnacentral:rRNA from 1 species